rnacentral:rRNA from 1 species
UACAGAGGGUGCAAGCGUUAAUCGGAAUUACUGGGCGUAAAGCGCAUGUAGGUGGGUAUUUAAGUUUGAUGUGAAAUCCCUGGGCUUAACCUGGGAAUGGCGUUGAAGACUGGAUACCUAGAGUUUGACAGAGGGUCGUGGAAUUUCCGGUGUAGCGGUGAAAUGCGUAGAGAUCGGAAAGAACACCAGUGGCGAAGGCGGCGACCUGGGUCUAAAACUGACACUGAGGUGCGAAAGCGUGGGGAGCAAACAGG